rnacentral:rRNA from 1 species
GCGAGGAGGAGGCUACUGAGACUAAUACUCUUGGAUAGUGGACGUUACUCGCAGAUAAGCACCGGCUAACUCUGUGCCAGCAGCCGCGGUAAUACAGGAGGGUGCGAGUACGUUAAUCGGUAUUUACGUGGGACGUAAAGCGUGCGUAGGCGGCUUUUAAGUCGGAUGUGAAAUCCCCGAGCUUAACUUGGGAAUUGCAUUCGAUACUGGGAAGCUAGAGUAUGGGAGAGGAUGGUAGAAUUCCAGGUGUAGCGGUGAAAUGCGUAGAGAUCUGGAGGAAUACCGAUGGCGAAGGCAGCCAUCUGGCCUAAUACUGACGCUGAGGUACGAAAGCAUGGGGAGCAAACAGGAUUAGAUACCCUGGUAG